rnacentral:rRNA from 1 species
AGUGGCGGACGGGUGAGUAACGCGUGGGUAACCUGCCUCAUACAGGGGGAUAACAGUUAGAAAUGACUGCUAUACCGCAUAAGACCACAGCACCGCAUGGUGCAGGGGUAAAAAACUCCGGUGGUAUGAGAUGGACCCGCGUCUGAUUAGGUAGUUGGUGGGGUAACGGCCUACCAAGCCGACGAUCAGUAGCCGACCUGAGAGGGUGACCGGCCACAUUGGGACUGAGACACGGCCCAA